rnacentral:misc_RNA from 1 species
GAUGAAGAACGCAGCGAAAUGCGAUAAGUAAUGUGAAUUGCAGAAUUCAGUGAAUCAUCGAGUCUUUGAACGCACAUUGCGCCCCCUGGUAUUCCGGGGGGCAUGCCUGUCCGAGCGUCAUUGCCGCCCUCAAGCACGGCUUGUGUGUUGGGCCCCCGCCCUCCGGCUUCGGGGGGCGGGCCCGAAAGGCAGCGGCGGCACCGCGUCCGGUCCUCGAGCGUAUGGGGCUUCGUCACCCGCUCUGUAGGCCCGGCCGGCGCCCGCCGGCGACCCCAAUCAAUCUUUCCAGGUUGACCUCGGAUCAGGUAGGGAUACCCGCUGAACUUAAGCAUAUCAAUAAGCGGAGGA